UACGGGGGGGGCAAGCGUUGUUCGGAAUUACUGGGCGUAAAGGGUGCGUAGGCGGUUCGUUAAGUUAGAUGUGAAAACUCUGGGCUCAACCCAGAGCCUGCAUCUAAAACUGGCGGGCUAGAGUUCUGGAGGGGGUAGCGGGAUUCCUGGUGUAGCGGUGAAAUGCGUAGAUAUCAGGAGGAACACCGGUGGCGAAGGCGGCUACCUGGACAGAGUCUGACGCUGAGGCACGAAAGCUAGGGGAGCAAACAGG
rnacentral:rRNA from 1 species